CUUGGCCAUGGCAACACAUGCCACUUCUGGUCUGACCAUUGGCUAAACGGCCAAUCCAUCGCGGAGUUAGCACCCACGCUGCUCUCUCUCAUCCCGCGCCGCAGACGGAAGAACCGCCUCGUCAGUGAGGCACUGACCAAUAACACCUAGAUCUCCGACAUACAUGGCACGCUCUGCCCCGUAGCCACCGUCGAGUACGUCGAGCUAUGGUAGCAGCCUCAGGGCAUCGCCCUAUCUACCAACCCCGACAAGCUGACUUGGAAAUGGACUUCCAAUGGUAUCUAUACGGCGAGUUCCUGCUACCGCGCGCUCUUUCACGGCUCUGUCACUGCACCAUUCUGGCAACUCAUCUGGAGGACCUGGGUGCCCUCGAAUGCCAAAAUCUUCCUAUGGCUUGCUGCCCUUAAUCGGUGUUGGACAGCGGAACGGCGCGUGAGACAUGGCCUACCUCAUGACCUCACAUGCAAGCUUUGCAACCAAGAAGACGAGAGCAUCGAUCAUAUACUCGUUGGAUGCGUGCUAGCACGCAUAUCUUAG
rnacentral:rRNA from 1 species